rnacentral:lncRNA from 1 species
AAUAGGAGAAAAAGAAUAGUGUGUACCCCCUCCCCAUGGCGCUUCUCAAGAACAACCCAGGGGUUUUGUGCUUGGCGGCCCUUCUUGUGAUAUCCGCCACCUUCUUAUCAUGUGAUGCAUCCUACGGGAUCAGAGGUAUAUUUCUUUCAUUCUAUUCAUAUUUAUUUUUGCUCUAUACAACUGCCUGGAACAUUUUUCCGAUGAUCAAACAAAUGCAAGUGAUUGUGUUAUGUCUCUCUCGAUAUAGUAUAAUAUACCUACAACUUUGUUCUGUGUGGGUUGGGACCAAGGCUGCAAGGACCCGGUGAAUGGAAUCCCUAGUCAGUGUCAGAUUUACUGCAGAGAUAACGGUUUUGUCUUAGAGAAAGGCAAAUGUGCACCGGACAGUGGAAAGCCCAACCGCAUGUGCUGCUGCUAUAAGUAGACACUUGCGUGUGAAUUCGUGGAAGAGUGCAAAACUUUUUCUGUAUGAGAGAUCUCAAAAAAUAAAUUAAUAAAACAUUGUUUGAUC